UAGGAGUUGAACGAAGGAUGGGAUGGAGUUUACCUUUGGUUGUUAAACGGUGAAAUCGAUGGAAUUGAAUGAAACGGGUGGAGAACUUCCUUCCUUGCUGUCACAAAAACUCCUUGAGUUUGAUAGGUUUGAAUAUAGAAGAUGGAGGGUGGAAGGUCACUUGAAAAUGGAGAGUCUCCAUGGAGUGGAGAAGUUGGCGUAGGGGAAGAGAGAAAAGGGUUUUGGGCUUGUACAAAAUUUUCUAAGAAUAAAUUGGGCCCAACAUAAUAUUGGUGGAGUUAGGCUCAAGUUGGAAAAAUAUAAGAGAAUUUGAUGGCCCAACACUCUUUUAAAAUUUACUAAGGACAUUGGGACUUUAAUUUAUAUUUACUUGGGUCGGCCCAAGUUCUUAUAUUUA